rnacentral:rRNA from 1 species
AGAGUUUGAUCCUGGCUCAGGACGAACGCUGGCGGCGCGCCUAACACAUGCAAGUCGAACGAGCGAGAGAGCUUGCUUUCUCGAGCGAGUGGCGAACGGGUGAGUAACGCGUGAGGAACCUGCCUCAAAGAGGGGGACAACAGUUGGAAACGACUGCUAAUACCGCAUAAGCCCACGGGUCGGCAUCGACCAGAGGGAAAAGGAGCGAUCCGCUUUGAGAUGGCCUCGCGUCCGAUUAGCUAGUUGGUGAGGUAACGGCCCACCAAGGCGACGAUCGGUAGCCGGACUGAGAGGUUGAACGGCCACAUUGGGGACUGAGACACGGCCCAGACUCCUACGGGAGGCA